AACCAAUCAGAACAAAGCAACAGUAGUAUAAAACCCCUAAGCAGGCUCUUCCACUUCCUCUUUCUUUGAUGAGGUCGAGCAGGAGAGCAAGGAAACCAACAAAUCCACCUUGUAGCAGACACAUCCAGAGAAACAAUCGUCAAGCCCAGAGAGAAAACAGAUUACACUGCAAGAAAACAGAAAACAUUGUGAAAGUAAACUGUCAAAGCAAGAUGUC